CUGACAGAAGAGAGUGAGCACACAAAGGUAAUUUGCAUAUACUGCAUUUACUUCUCUUGCGUGCUCACUGCUCUUUCUGUCAG
rfam:Brassica napus, WGS project CCCW01000000 data, contig: 24746